GGCGGUGUAACUCAGCCCGGUUAGAGUGCCACGCUCAUAACGUGGAAGUCGCGAUUUCAAAUAUCGCCACCGCCA
rnacentral:tRNA from 1 species